rnacentral:rRNA from 1 species
CGUACUCCCAAGUCCGGCAUAGCUCGUCGAAAGACGGGGUAAUUCCGGAUGGUCCCGUAAGGGUAAAGAUUUAUCGCUUGGGAAGCGGCCUGCGUAGUAUCAGCUAGUUGGUAGGGUAACGGCCUACCAAGGCUACGACGCUUAGGGGAGCUGAGAGGCUGACCCCCACCGAUGGGACUGAGACACGGCCCAUACUCCUACGGGAGGCCGCAGUCGAGAAUCUUCCGCAAUGGACGAAAGUCUGACGGAGCGAUACAGCGUGAUGGACGAAGUGCUUCGGUACGUAAACAUCUUUUAUGUGGGACGAAAUUAUUGACGGUACCACAUGAAUAAGGGGCUCCUAACUCUGUGCCAGCAGGAGCGGUAAUACAGAGGCCCCAAGCAUUAUCCGGGAUCAUUGGGCGUAAAGGGUGUCAAGGCGGUCAUGUUAGUCGUUCGUAAAAUCCGGGGGCUCAACCUCCGGCCCGCGAGCGAAACGGCAUGACUAGAGGUAGGGAGAGGUGCGUGGAACUCACGGUGUAGGGGUGAAAUCCGUUGAUAUCGUGGGGAACACCAAAGGCGAAGGCAGCGCACUGGCCCUAAUCUGACGCUCACACACG